GCUUUGAAGGUCCCAAUGAGCACAGUGGCCUCCAUCAUCCAUAAAUGGAAAAAGUUGAGAUCCACCAGGACUCUUCCUAGAACUGGCUGUCUAUCUAAACUGAGUGAACAGAGGAGAAAGACUUUAGUCAGGGAGGUGACCAAGAACCCUAUGGUCACUCAGUCAGAGCUCCUGGAAUUCCUCUGAAUAUCCUCAUCAAUA